UACGUAGGGUGCAGGCGUUAAUCGGAAUUACUGGGCGUAAAGCGUACGCAGGCGGUUUGCUAAGACAGGUGUGAAAUCCCCGGGCUUAACCUGGGAACUGCGCUUGUUACUGGCAAGCUAGAGUGUGGCAGAGGGGGGUAGAAUUCCAGGUGUAGCAGUGAAAUGCGUAGAGAUGUGGAGGAACACCGAUGGCGAAGGCAGCCCCCUGGGUCAAGAUUGACGCUCAUGCACGAAAGCGUGGGGAGCAAACAGG
rnacentral:rRNA from 1 species